rnacentral:ncRNA from 1 species
GCGGCGUGCUUAACACAUGCAAGUCGAACGAAGCGCUUUCGAUUGAAUCUUCGGAGGAAAGAGGAAGUGACUGAGUGGCGGACGGGUGAGUAACGCGUGGGUAACCUGCCUCAUACAGGGGGAUAACAGUUAGAAAUGGCUGCUAAUACCGCAUAAGCAUACAGCACCGCAUGGUGCAGUGUGAAAAACUCCGGUGGUAUGAGAUGGACCCGCGUCUGAUUAGGUAGUUGGUGGGGUAACGGCCUACCAAGCCGACGAUCAGUAGCCGACCUGAGAGGGUGACCGGCCACAUUGGGACUGAGACACGGCCCAAACUCCUACGGGAGGCAGCAGUGGGGAAUAUUGCACAAUGGGGGAAACCCUGAUGCAGCGACGCCGC